AUGAGGCACGGCAUUUUGCCUUUCCCCAGCUUGCUGAUGGAAUUGAGCUUCCCGAUCUUUUUGAAGAUAGUGUUGAGACGUGACUUCUCCUUGAAGGUCUUCGCAUAAAGGAUUUCUGCCUGCCCCAUUAGGGCUAGAAGAAAUCUUGGUGAGUGUGGUAGCUCCCACACUGAGGCAGCUGAGGUAGGAGGAUUCCUGUGAGUGCACAACCAGCCUGGGCUGCAUCCUAAGACCCUGCAUAAAGUGUAAAAUGAAACGAAGACACUUCAUUUUGAAUUAAAGACCAUGGUUCCCAGCACUGAACUUCAGUCAACACUCCAGCAACGGUGUCUGUCCCCAGUUCAAUCACUUGGAGUGGAUUCGCUAAGCACACAGAGUUCUGGGAAUGGAACCCGAAGCUUACGGAGCCACACGGUCCGCCCUUUACUUCACUUUCAUCUUUUGAAGUAGUAAAUAACAGUUACUGGUUUCAUCUUGUAAGUCCGGGAGAAAUAAGGGUCUUUUCCUUCAUUGUCUUCACAUUUAAAAACCGAUUAAAAUCCACAGAAAAACAUCAAAG